rnacentral:rRNA from 1 species
UACGAAGGGGGCUAGCGUUGUUCGGAAUUACUGGGCGUAAAGGGCGCGUAGGCGGUGUGUCAAGUCAGGCGUGAAAGCCCCGGGCUCAACCUGGGAACCGCGCUUGAGACUGGCACGCUCGAGUUCGGGAGAGGAUGGUGGAAUUCCCAGUGUAGAGGUGAAAUGCGUAGAUAUCGGGAGGAACACCAGUGGCGAAGGCGGUUGCCUGGAGCUUUGCUGACGCUGAUGCGCGAAAGCGUGGGGAGCGAUCCGG